rnacentral:lncRNA from 1 species
GGUAAACGUUUGUAUCCAGCUUGCAGGUAAAGGGUUACAGAUUCUAGGAAGUAUUAAAUGCAAACUUUAAAGGAUUUUAUUUUCAUCUACAGUCACAUGACACCUUAAUACCCAAUGACACUAACUACAGUAUCUCAUUAAGAGGUCAUGCAAACUCCCAAGCUAAACAAGGCAUUCUUACAUAUUUAACAUUCAAAUGCAGAAGCCAAGCUAAGCCAUGGAAGAUUGUAAUCAGAAAAGAGCUGCACUUCCUGAUCAGCAAAAAAGCUACAGGUUCUUUAAACAAGAGACAGAUUGCUAGUAUUUUGGCCUGAAAUCUGAAGGUAAGCAAUCAGAAAAAUUCUAACACCCAGUCUAAGAACAGGAAAUUGUUACAGAAGUGGAAAACUUAGGAUGCAGAACUUUCAUCCCAGAUUUCUGGGAGAUCUUUAUCUGUAAAGGAGUACGCAAACACAGACAGAGUAAAUUGACGCUGCAUUACGUGCCUUGCAGAGCCAUAUGCUGUUGUCACAGACACUGCCAAUAAAGCUCAAAGUUUCCUGUGCA